UAUUUUUUGCUUUUUAUUGGCCUGGCUAUUUUCUCCGGUUAUUGUCAAAUCUGGUGUACGCUUGCUGGUCUGCUAACAUCGCCUGAUGUUACUGCAUCGCUGAUGUCAUGAAAUGUGAAAGUAGCGCAACUUGUUUAAUUUUCAGCCGUAUGGCAAAUAAUGAUUUUGAGUCAGAAGGAGGG